rnacentral:rRNA from 1 species
UGAUGGGGAAGCCCGUAAGGGUGAACUUAAGUCAUUCCACGCUGACGAGAAAAUCCUCGUAGGGAGUACAUGGGAUGACCGUACCGUAAACCGACACAGGUAGGUAGGUAGAAGAUACCAAGGCGUUCGAGAGAACCCUCGCUAAGAAACUAGGCAAAAUAGCCCCGUAACUUCGGGAGAAGGGGUCCCACCGCAAGGUGGGUGCAAUAAAUUGGUUCAGGCGACUGUUUAGCAAAAACACAGGUGUCUGCUAACUCGUAAGAGGAUGUAUAGGCACUGACGCCUGCCCGGUGCCAGAAGGUUAACAGGAGGAGUUAGCUCGCAAGGGCGAAGCUCUGAAUCGAAGCCCUGGUAAACGGCGGCCGUAACUAUAACGGUCCUAAGGUAGCGAAAUUCCUUGUCGGGUAAGUUCCGACCCGCAUGAAUGGCGUAACGAUCUGAGCGCUGUCUCGGCGAGGGGCUCGGCGAACUUGAGAUACCGGUGAAGACGCCGGUUACCUGCAACUAGACGGAAAGACCCCGUGCACCUUUACUAUAGCUUGGCAGUGAGCUUUGUUGAUGUAUGUGUAGGAUAGGUGGGAGGCUGUGAAGCGGAGACGCUAGUAACCGUGGAGCCAACCUUGAAAUACCACCCUUACCUUACUGGGGCUCUAACCUGUCCCCGUUAACCGGGGAAGGGACACUGUCUGGUGGGUAGUUUGACUGGGGCGGUCGCCUCCCAAAGAGUAACGGAGGCGUCCAAAGGUCUCCUCAGGCUGGACGGAAACCAGCUGUCGAGUGCAAAGGCAUAAGGAGGCUUAACUGUGAGAGAGACAUCUCGAGCAGAUACGAAAGUAGGGCUUAGUGAUCCGGUGGCACUGAGUGGAAGGGCCAUCGCUCAACGGAUAAAAGGUACGCCGGGGAUAACAGGCUUAUCGGGUCCAAGAGUUCACAUCGACGACCCGGUUUGGCACCUCGAUGUCGACUCAUCGCAUCCUGGAGCUGAAGCAGGUUCCAAGGGUUGGGCUGUUCGCCCAUUAAAGCGGUACGAGAGUUGGGUUCAGAACGUCGUGAGACAGUUCGGUCCCUAUCUGUUGCAGGCGGAGGAGACUUGCGGGGAUCUGUCCUCAGUACGAGAGGACCGGGAUGGACAGACCUCUUGUGUUCCGGUUGUCAUGCCAGUGGCAAUGCCGGGUAGCUAUGUCUGGAAGGGAUAAACGCUGAAGGCAUCUAAGCGUGAAACCCACCCC